GAAAUGCAAGAAGACUUUUUCUGACUGCUCUUUAGCAAUUGGGAAGAUAAGAGUCAUUUGCUGGCAAGGACCAUCUCAUGGAGUUCUAAGAAUGCAAUCAAAGAGGCAGAAAUCAGAGCCGGGAGAGACACCAAGCUCCAAUGACCAUGCCAUCCCAGAGAUGAUAACACAAUAAAGUAUCUUUGCAAGAACCGUGUUAGCACCUGUGCAAUGACUGGGAGGAACCCGAUGACACUGCCCUCAAGAAAAGAUCCUCAAAGCUUCAUGGAAGAUACUGCAAGGGAGCAGACUGGUAAAGAGGGAAAGCCCAGAAUCAACUUCUCUGAAUUUGAAGAGUCUUCUGUGAUUUGCCAGAACUGUUGUGAUGAAGAUUUUUCUUGGACUACUAGGCAGCCAAGCAAUUCCAAACCCUCCUUGGGACAUCUACUUCCAUUCCUUCCACUGGGUUCUGUCUGAGAGCCUGCAACCGGCAUCUCGUGCAGAUUUCAAAAUCGAAAUUCAGCAUUAUCGUAAUUACACAGAAAUAGCAUCAUAAUAUAUUGUCGUGGUUUGUUCUGUCUCAUUUGUAUUGCCAAAAAUUUUUUUUUUGUGGCCCAAGUCCCACUGAAUAGACAUCCUUACUGCACUGCCUUCAUUUUGUCAUGAACUUAUUUUUCCUGAGAAGUUUAAUUUAAGAGUUAAUAUCAAGGACUUUUCUGUAGCUCCAUGAAAACUUAAGCAUGUCUGAACAACAAAAUUGAAAAGAGUUUGUCAAAAACAGAAUGUAUUCAGAAGAGACAGAUGCUUAAAUUUUCUUUUACUUACCUUGAACUGAACACUAUUUCUAGAGCUAAAAUUACAGACUUGCUUUGCUGCGGGCCAUGGAGCAAAUCAAACAAAAGCUUUCCUGGCAGCCCCCAAGCAAACCCGUGGCCCCAAGCGUCCGUCACUUCUGGGGGUUGUCACCACCGCUCUUCUCUCCAUAAAGAAGUAUAAUUAGGAAAGGACAAAAAUAGGAAGUCAAGCUGUCAGUCAUUUUAAUUCUUCAUUUUUUCUGAAUAGAAUAUUUUUCUUGGUCUAUUAAAAAAUACACGGCCACUCAUUCAGAAUCCCUUCAUUAAUGUGAGGCAUUAAUUCUAAUCUGUUUUGCCAUUUUGAAGAACAGUUUUCUGUUCAUUUGAAAGCCCACUCUCAUGAUGAGG
rnacentral:lncRNA from 1 species